UGGGGAAUAUUGGGCAAUGGGCGAAAGCCUGACCCAGCAACGCCGCGUGAAUGAUGAAGGCCUUCGGGUUGUAAAAUUCUUUGGACAGGGACGAAGAAAGUGACGGUACCUGUAGAACAAGCCACGGCUAACUACGUGCCAGCAGCCGCGGUAAUACGUAGGGGGCUAGCGUUGUCCGGAAUCACUGGGCGUAAAGGGUUCGCAGGCGGAAAUGCAAGUCAGGUGUAAAAGGCAGUAGCUUAACUACUGUAAGCAUUUGAAACUGCAUAUCUUGAGAAGAGUAGAGGUAAGUGGAAUUUUUAGUGUAGCGGUGAAAUGCGUAGAUAUUAAAAAGAAUACCGGUGGCGAAGGCGACUUACUGGGCUCAUUCUGACGCUGGGGAACGAAAGCGUGGGUAGCAAACAGG
rnacentral:rRNA from 1 species